GCCCUUCGCUGAUGAUUGAUAACGAAGACGCACAUAUACACGGCUGGGAAGAAACGCGAAGUGACGAAAUCCACAGCUAAGAGAACGAACUAGAAAUCAAGUGAGUCAUGUCUGCUGUCCUCCUGUUCCUGCAGCUUCCCGAGGCUUUGAGAGAUCCAACCUCUGAAGAUGAAUCGAAGACCAGUCCUUCUGCAUCACAUGCCACUCAGGACUGCUCUCACAGAGCCCGGAUGUAGUCAGCCUUGCCCAGCAGCCUCCAGGAGUUCCUGUGCACCCUAUUUUUCUCAAUACCACAGUAUCACUAAAGGUCUGAACUGGAACAUAUCAAGAAGACACACGAGAAGGUCAAGGUGAUGGAGCUCUUGGCUGGUUAUCCACCUCACAAAGAGCCAAUCAGCAAAGCUUGAAUGACCUGUGUUUUCAUCUCUGACUCCUCUGCUCGGAGGCAUCAGUAAGUAGAUCAGUACAGAAGACUGUCCCUAAGGGGCUGGGCAUGUAGCUUAGUGGUUAGAGUCCUUGCCUAGCAUUUGUGGGGCUGUGUGUUCGAUUCUCAGCACCACAAUAAUCAGGUAUGGAUGCACACGGCUGUACUCCUGGGACCUUGGAGGUAGGAGGAUCACACGUCAAGGCCAUCCUCAGCUACACAGUGAGUUUGAGGCUAGCCUGGGCUAUGUGAGGCUACAUAAAAUACAAAAGACUAUCCCUGAGGGGAGGGUCUAUGAUCUGUGUCCAUUAUCUGUGCCCCAGCACAGUGGUCCUCAAUAAAUGCUUUUUAUGUAAACGAAUGCUUUUAUAUGUUUCCCUAGUGGGUAUUUGGCCAGAGAACAAGCUCGUCACACAGUCCUGCUGUGAUGUGGCCAUGUCAAACUUCCCAUGUCUUAAUUUCUUUAGCUCUAAAUAGAGAUAACAACACAUAUCCCACAGAGCUGACAGGAGGAUUAACUGGAAGGAAGCCUUUAAGCACUCUGUGUGUGUCUGGUACCCAGGGAAUGAUCAUGAUGGGCAUUUGUACUGUCUCCAGUGCCUCUGCGUCCAUUCUCUGGAUAUAGGCAUGUGCUUUCCCCGCGAUUCACUUCAGUGUGCUUGUGGGUGAGGAGCCGACGAGUCACGGAGCAUGUGGGUUUAAAUUUCAGAACUGGCAACAGGUCGCAUUUUAAAAAGCUGGUACAGAUUAUGCAUAUGCAUCCUGGUGGAUCACAGGCCUUAACUUAAGGAUGUCUUGCAUUUCUCAAGCCUUUGCUCUUGAGGGAGGGUGAGUGACUUGUUAUCUUGUGUAACCCAAGAGAAAGUUCUCCAUCCCACCCUGCCCUGUGGCCCAGCAUGAAACAGCUCUGUUGGAAAAUCCUAGACAUGGUGCCUAAUGUAAUCAAAGAGGCUUUAGUUGUGUCUCUCAAAGAGCAUUACUGAGGCAUUACUCAGAACUUCAAAGGCUGCUUCUCAAGCAUUUUCUUUUCUUCUUGUGUUCUAUGUCCCUGCAGACAGAGGGGCCCCAGGGGGUGGGUUGGGGGUGAGUCACAAGCCCAAAGGCUGGUUCUCACUACCUGUGAUCCCUGUAGUGAAGUGUUCAUCUUUGAUUUGCACAAAGCCCUCUCCACAUCUGCUGGGAGUAGGCCAAGUCAGUGUUGUGUUGGGCGAAGGCCCCUGUCCUUGACUGCAUCCCCAGAAGUUGGGGUCCAGCAAUCGGGGGAUCUCCAGAGAGUGCAAAACGCCUGCAGAUGGCUACCCUUCAAAUGCUAACUCACCUUCAUUCUUGCUUCCAGCCUUUAGAUCCUAGGGGUAUCUGUAUAUGGAGAGUGAUGUAGUUACUAUGGAAACCUAGGCUACAAAAAAUUAUGUUAGUGAGUUGUGGCCAGCAUCUUUUAAAAAAUGAAAGAGACUAGAUCAGAAUAUAAACUAUGAGAAUGGAUUGCAAGUGGAAAGGGUAAACAUUUUUUCUAAUAAAAUGGCUCUCUCUAGUGAGCACGCGCACACACACA
rnacentral:sRNA from 1 species